GAUGAAGAACGCAGCGAAACGCGAUAAGUAAUGUGAAUUGCAGAAUUUAGUGAAUCAUCGAACUUUUGAACGCACAUUGCGCCCUCUGGUAUUCCGGGGGGCAUGCCUGUUCGAGCGUCAUUAUAACCACUCAAGCUUUCGCUUGGUAUUGGGGCUCGCGGUUCCGCGGCCCCUAAAAUCAGUGGCGGUGCCUGUCGGCUCUACGCGUAGUAAUACUCCUCGCGAUUGAGUCCGGUAGGUCUACUUGCCAGCAACCCCCAAUUUUUACAGGUUGACCUCGGAUCAGGUAGGGAUACCCGCUGAACUUAAGCAUAUCAAUAAGCGGAGGA
rnacentral:misc_RNA from 1 species